rnacentral:rRNA from 1 species
UAUCUCUGUAGAGUCUGCAUAUCAAUAAGCGGAGGAAAAGAAACUAACUAGGAUUCCCUCAGUAACGGCGAGUGAAGCGGGAAGAGCUCAAAUUUGAAAUCUUCAAGGUUUUACCUUGACGAAUUGUAGUUUAAAGAAGUGUUUUCUGUUGGAGUUUUGGUAAAAGUUCUUUGGAAUAGGACAUCAUAGAGGGUGAGAAUCCCGUAUUUGACCAUUAUUUCCAGCUUUGUGAUACACUUUCAAAGAGUCGGAUUGUUUGGGAAUGCAGUCCAAAAUGGGUGGUAAAUUUCAUCUAAAGCUAAAUACUGGCGAGAGACCGAUAGCGAACAAGUACCGUGAGGGAAAGAUGAAAAGAACUUUGAAAAGAGAGUUAAACAGUACGUGAAAUUGUCAAAAGGGAAGCGUUUGACACCAGUGUUGUUUUCUCGAAAAUCAGUUAAAAAUGGCAGGAUUUUGUGUUGUAUUGACUUUAUCAGCUUUCUGCACUUUUUUCCUGUCUUUUUUAAUGCACUUUUCGUUUAACAAGUCAACAUCAAUUUCUUUUGUUGUAAAAGGGUCAUUGGAAGGUGGCUUUCUUUUCGGAGAAAGUGUUUAUAGCCUUUGGCCUCUGCAAUCGGAGAGAUUGAGGUCUGCAGCGUAGAUCCUUCGGGGUUAGAUACAUUUGUGCUAAGUUAUAGCCUUUCAUAGACAACUUGUUGACUAUGAUCAGUCAUGUAGCUUACUCGCUUAUGCUAUUUUACCUACGCUUAGGAUGUUGAGUCAUCACACAUCUCU